ensembl:misc_RNA
UGGGCGGGCCCCAUCCGGUGAUUGAACCGGAGUUUUCCAUUUGUCCCCAGAACAAGUUCUGUGCUUCCGGCUGCAGUGCAGGCCUGCCCACAGUACCCUGCCAGCAUGUUUACGCCCUGACCUGGAGGGACCAGCUAAGGGUGAGAAUGUGACUCGCUCUCCAUGCCCAUCCCUUGCUUGUCUGGU